AAAUUGAAGAGUUUGAUCAUGGCUCAGAUUGAACGCUGGCGGCAGGCCUAACACAUGCAAGUCGAACGGUAGCACAGAGGAGCUUGCUCCUUGGGUGACGAGUGGCGGACGGGUGAGUAAUGUCUGGGAAACUGCCCGAUGGAGGGGGAUAACUACUGGAAACGGUAGCUAAUACCGCAUAACGUCGCAAGACCAAAGAGGGGGACCUUCGGGCCUCUUGCCAUCGGAUGUGCCCAGAUGGGAUUAGCUAGUAGGUGGGGUAACGGCUCACCUAGGCGACGAUCCCUAGCUGGUCUGAGAGGAUGACCAGCCACACUGGAACUGAGACACGGUCCAGACUCCUACGGGAGGCAGCAGUGGGGAAUAUUGCACAAUGGGCGCAAGCCUGAUGCAGCCAUGCCGCGUGUAUGAAGAAGGCCUCCGGGU
rnacentral:ncRNA from 1 species